UCGUUCCUACCCAUCAGCUGGGGUCAGACGAGCUAUAGCGCAGACGCAUCCGGGUCACCUUGACUACCGGGCCAAGGACCCCGUGGGAACUCUCAGUCCGCGCCAUCCUGUUCCACCGAGCGGGGCGCCCACGGAGAGGUGCCUAGAGAGAAGACCUGCCCGGCAAGAACCUAAGGGAAGAGUAGCGGAGGAAUUAGAAGUGGCUUAAAAAA